GACGAACGCUGGCGGCAGGCCUAACACAUGCAAGUCGAGCGGAGCGGCGGACGGGCGAGUAAUGCCUAGGAAUCUGCCUGGCAGUGGGGGAUAAAGUCCGGAAACGGGCGCUAAUACCGCAUACUACCAGAUGAGCCUAGGUCGGAUUAGCUCGUUGGUGGGGUAAAGGCCUGCCAAGCCGACGAUCCGUAACUGGUCUGUGAGGAUGACCAGUCACACUGGAACUGAGACACGGCCCAGACUCCUACGGGAGGCAGCAGUGGGGAAUAUUGGACUAUGGGCGAAAGCCUGAUCCAGCCAUGCCGCGUGUGUGAAGAAGGUCUUCGGAGUGUAAAGCACUUUAAGUUGGGAGGCGUUACCAGCAGAAUAAGCACCGGCUAACUUCGUGCCAGCAGCCGCGGUAAUAC
rnacentral:rRNA from 1 species